AACACUAUAAAAAAGCAAAGCUCUCAGCAUCUUUCAACUGCAACUCAACCAACACUGAAGCAGAACUUCUUAAUCAUCACAUCAUCAUCUGAUUCAAGAAGAGUAUCCUGAUGAAGUCUUCUAUCAUUUUAAGCAUCCUUCUGCCCCUUGCUCUAGUAGUGAUGGCUGCAGCCAACCCUGACAACCCAGAUCCUGCCAUUAUUAGUGUUGCGACACAAUGGCCGUAUGGAAAAUACUCAAUGCUUAAAACCACAUCCGGAUGCCCCUCAGGAUGGUUUAGUGGGUGGAGAUAUCAGGAUAACGAAGACAACGGCAAUGGAAACAGUUUUAGGCCGUAUGACAUCACCUCUUACCUUCGUUUUGACACUGGAUCCAAUUUUAAAACGUAUUACUGCACAAAGAAAAAUAUUAAUGGAGUAGGUAGUUGGCCAAAUGGAAGGUACUGCAUUGCUCGAUUCGGUGGCAGCUGCCCCAGUGGUUUCCAACAAGGCUUUCGAUACUGGGAUGAUGAAGAUAAUAAUAAUGGAAAUUCCGCACAAAGUGUACUCCCCGCUGGCUCUUAUGGAACAAACACGAGGAUCGAGUACUGCUGUAGGAACAACGGUAGCCCCCACAGUGAAAUUGCUCUUCCUCCUACAAUGCCUUUUGUUCUUUAUCGCUAUCUGGGCGUUUGCCAGAGUGUCAAAGGAAUGUACAGCACAGAUCUCUUCAUACACUUUGACGAUGAAGACAGUGGCAAUGCUAAUAGCUGCGGAGGGCUAUAUCCCGAGGGUUCUUGUGGUAGAAACCACGAGCUUAAUCUCUGCUACUACAGAGCACGCCGCUAGUGUACAUGCAUGCAUGAUUGUAUAGCUAUAACUUGUGUAGUAUAUAAUGCUGAUUAGCAGCUAUUGAAACUGAAAUGGGAACCUUUCUUAGUAUAAAAUAUAGAUGCAUGCCAGAAAACUGCUUUGUAGCAUCAGUUUGUACUUUAGAGACAGUUUAUAGAAACUUGUUGAUAUAAUUAUAACGUUGAAUAUUUA